GCCCACAAGACUGUACUCACAUUAAAACUUUAAACCCACUUUAAACUGGAUUUCAUCUGACAGCACCAACUUAAGAUGAUAAAUAUUGAUUUAUUAUUCAUUGUUAGUGUAGUACUUUGUUCAGCAUAUGCACAAAGCCAAACAAAAAAUGGCUUGGGUGAUAGCCGAUGUCUAAAUUUGCUGAAAAGCAAUUAUAGACAGCUAUUUAAUGGCAGGCUCCCAUUGUGACAACUUACCCCAAUGGUAGCGAGAGCUCUUACAGUAUAUGGGGCAUGUUGUCGCAUGUUUUCUCCUGGCCAAUAAUGUUCAGUAGCUUUCCCAUUGACAAGGCUUAAGGUUCAUGUCAACAAAAGUGUUUUAAAACGCAAUCCUACCCUGCCCUCUUUUUUAAGAAUUGAGAGAAAAUUAACUAUAAUUGGAUAAGACGAUAAAAUGGUGUAUUAGUGCAGAUAACGUCACAGAUGUGCAGAAAUGUGACUAUUUUAGGCAGGGCAGGUGAAGUUGUAGGUUAUGUUGGUGUUGAAAUUCCGCUAUUGGCACGUGUGCAAAUCCAUCGCUCGCGCUCUCGCGCACUACAGACAGAGCAGUGUUGUCUCGAGCUCGCCGUGAGCGGACUGUUACCGAGGAGGGAGGGACACGCAGUCCUGAGAUGCUCCUUCACGAGGAGCAAAGCAAUACAUCAGCGACUCCAAUGCGGUGCCAAAUGUUUCUAAUUCGGUUUCUGCGUCCGUUUCCCGCAGGAUGCCGUUUGGUAAAAAAUGCGCAUAUGAAAUAAACGUGGGCGGGAUCCCUUCUGCGUUGGCCACUGGAUCUAACAUUCGGAGAAACGCUGGAAAAUACAUCUGUAUGCUGAGCAAACUGGAUGAGAGAUUUCUGAGGGAGAUGUGUGAAUAGACGCUUUGUCCUUUGCGUCUUUUUUUCUCGCCUUCUGAAUGGCUUGUAUACGCGUUUCUCCUCAAAUGGUUUUAUUUUCGGGUUUAUCUACUAAAUGCGUCGAUGUCGUACUGUUUUUAGUUCACUCGAUAGUGCCAUGUUUCCUCUGAGGCGAUCCGACGUGAGCCGAAAAGUCGGACUGGACCUCCUUAAGAAGCAAACCAUCAACAUUCCUGUAUUCUUCGACCAUUUUUAAUUCUAACUGUGUUCUGGAAGGCUAAAAUUCACGUUUUGGAUUAAAUAAACGCUGCACGGAAAGUCUGUUUUGGGGAUUUCAAACGAUCGUUUGAAUCGAGGCAGCCGUUUGGAAUGAAGAACCGUUAAGAAUCGGCGCCAAAGAUUUCGCGGCAGAUUUGGAUGCGGUUCCCUGGUCUAUAUUAAUACAUUUAUCGUUUUACAUAUAUAUCAUACAAUUAAUUUAUCCAAGUGAGCAUAUUGUUUCGAGACUCUGGACCCAGAGGAGGUGAUUUAUACAUAAUCCAUCUGAAGAUCCCGUACAUUUCAGUGCUGCUCUGAACUUGAUAAGGCACUGAAUCGAGGAGGACAUACAAGGACAGGCAGAAUAUGAACGUCCGCCUCAAUAUUAAAACCGUCUCCUGACGUCGCCUGUAACAGAAU
ensembl:lncRNA